CCUACGGGAGGCUGCAGUGAGGAAUAUUGGUCAAUGGGCGAGAGCCUGAACCAGCCAAGUCGCGUGAGGGAGUACUGCCCUAUGGGUUGUAAACCUCUUUUGUCGGGGAGCAAAAGCCGGACGUGUCCGGCUGUGAGAGUACCCGAAGAAAAAGCAUCGGCUAACUCAGUGCCAGCAGCCGCGGUAAUACGGAGGAUGCGAGCGUUAUCCGGAUUUAUGGGGUUUAAAGGGUGCGCAGGCGGAUUUUUAAGUCAGCGGUCAAAUCGUGGGGCUCAACCCCAUCCAGCCGUUGAAACUGGGGAUCUAGAGUGUGCGAGAGGUAUGCGGAAUGCGUGGUGUAGCGGUGAAAUGCAUAGAUAUCACGCAGAACCCCGAUUGCGAAGGCAGCAUACCGGUGCACAACUGACGCUCAGGCACGAAAGCGUGGGUAUCGAACAGGAUUAGAUACCCUUGUAGUC
rnacentral:rRNA from 1 species